rnacentral:rRNA from 1 species
UGGGGAAUAUUGGACAAUGGGCGCAAGCCUGAUCCAGCCAUGCCGCGUGAGUGAUGAAGUCCCUAGGGUUGUAAAGCUCUUUCACCGGUGAAGAUAAUGACGGUAACCGGAGAAGAAGCUCCGGCUAACUUCGUGCCAGCAGCCGCGGUAAUACGAAGGGGGCUAGCGUUGUUCGGAUUUACUGGGCGUAUAGCGCACGUAGGCGGACUUUUAAGUCAGGGGUGAACUCCCGGGGCUCAACCCCGGAACUGCCUUUGUUGCUGGAAGUCUGGAGUAUGGUAGAGGUGAGUGAAAUUCCGAGUCUAGAGGUGGAAAUCGUAGGUAUUCGGAGGAACACCAGUGACGAAGGCGGCUCACUGGACCAUUACUGACGCUGAGGUGCGAAAGCGUGGGGAGCAAACAGG